rnacentral:rRNA from 1 species
GACCUAUACCCAGCCGUUGCUGGCUUGUGCGUUGUCUAGCGCCUGGCCGCAACGAGUAGGAGGGUCGUGGCGGUUGCGUCGAAGGCUUUGGGCGUAGGCCCAGCUGGAGCUUCCGUCAGUGCAGAUCUCGGUGGUAGUAGCAAAUAUUUAAGUUCGAUCCUUGAAGACUGAAGUGGAGAAGGGUUCCACGUGAACAGUAGUUGAAUGUGGGUCAGUCGAUCCUAAGAUACUGGCUUAUGCCUUGUAUCAUUGAGAGGGAAAAGUUUCUUUUCUCUCGGAUAUCAAAAGGGAAUAGGGUUAAUAUUCCCUAACGCAGACACAGAGAUUGCGGCUCUUUGAGUCGCUUGCGCGGUAACGCAUUCGAACUUGGUUACGUCGCUCAGAGACCGAGCUAGAGUUCUCUUCUCUAGUUAAGGAACGGACUCCCUGGAAUCGGUUCAGCCGUAGAUAGGGACGUUGUUUCCGUAAAGCAUCGCGGUUUCUGUGAUGUCUCGUGUUCUUUGGACGGCCCUUGAAAAACCAAGGAAGGCUAUCAAUCUGUGCUGCAUCGUACCGA